rnacentral:rRNA from 1 species
AUUGAACGCUGGCGGCAGGCCUAACACAUGCAAGUCGAACGAGUGGCGGACGGGUGAGUAAUGUCUGGGAAACUGCCUGAUGGAGGGGGAUAACUACUGGAAACGGUAGCUAAUACCGCAUACCAUCGGAUGUGCCCAGAUGGGAUUAGCUAGUAGGUGGGGUAAAGGCUCACCAAGACGACGAUCACUAGCUGGUCUGAGAGGAUGACCGGCCCCAUUGGACCUGGGACACGGUCCGGACGCCUACGGAAGGCAGCAGUGGGGAAGAUUGCACAAUGGGCGCAAGCCUGAUGCAGCCAUGCCGCGUGUAUGAAGAGGGCCUUCGGGUUGUAAAGUACUUUCGGCGGGGAGGCGUUACCCGCAGAAAAAGCACUGGCUAACUCCGUGCCAGCAGCCGCGGUAAUUC